rnacentral:lncRNA from 10 species
GAGACUUUCCUCUUCUCAUUUAAUCAAGAACAUAUGUUCAAAGAUAAUACCGGAGGCUUAUUCUGGGAAGCGUUCUGCUCUUCCUCCGACAGCCACGCAGCGAGCUCACGAGGCAGCCUCCACACAUAAUGAAAGCAAACGCCACCAUAAAUCUCCCGCUCGGCGGAGGUCACUUCAGAAAAAUCGCCCGCUGCUCAGAUAAGCACCAGCUUUGCUGAGGAACAUGGAAGGGGGAAAACACCGACUGUGAUAAACACCAGCAGCUCCCUGCCUUCCACCUCCCUGCUGCAAAAUGGAUCAAUCUAUAAUAAGUAGUAGUUAUAUAUCAUAAGGCAGCAAUUCCUUUUAGUUGUUCCACUAUAAAAAAGCAUCCAGAUUUAGAACUUGACAGGAACCAGUAUCGCCUGCCCCCCAGAGCCGGCAGAAAGUCUGUGUAUGUCAUUCAGCCAGCAUGGAGUCUGGGUGUUUUAAAAGCUUUAAUUUGAAGGGGAUAAAAAACCUGGGCGUUAAGCAAUUUGGCUGUGGAUAUUUAAUGCAUCAGCCACGCUAUAGAAUUGGAGUCCUCUAUUUAAAAUGAGAAAUUGAAAACUUACACGCUCUGUAGGCAAGGUGUAAGUAAAUGUAGGAUGGUAAGCAGAAAUCAGCUGAGAACCUGCAGAAACGCCAUUAGAAGGACUAAUGGCAUGGUUCAGAAGUGGCCUUAAACAAAUGCUAGGGUGUCGUUUGUAAGUGUGUAAAACAGGUCUGGCUUUUAAUUAGCAGGAGCCAUAUCUCCCUGUGUUUAGGAAAAGGCAUUACUUCUCAAAGAGAAUAUCCUAACGGGGUCUACAUAGGGACCAGGAGGAAACAAUGGCCCGGGAGUUGAGAUUUGCCUCAAGGCACGUUCCUCCUCAAUGGCAGCGUGGAGAUUGGAACUCAGUCUCCUUAUCUCUAAUUUCCACUCUAACACACUUAUUGUAGGUAGAAAAAAUGCAUCCCAAAGAUGUCUACUUCUUACUCCCCAGAACCUGUACAUACAGCACCUUACAUGGCAAAAGUGACUUUGCAGAUACGAUUGAGUUAAGGGUUUUGAGAUAGGGAGAUUACCAGGUGGCCCAACGGAAUCACAAGGGGCCUGAUAAGUAUGAGAGGGAGCAGAAGAGUGAGGGUCAGAGUCAGAGAGAGACUGGAAGAUGCUAUACCACUGGCUUUGAAGAUGAAGGAGGGGGACACAAGCCAAGGAAUGCAGGCAGCCUCUAAAUGCAGGAAAAGGUAAGGAAAUCGGUCUUACAGCCUCCAUAAAAAUGCCAUCCUGCCAAUGCCUUGAUUUCAGCCUCAUGAGACCCUUUCAGACUUCUGAUCUCUAGAACUGUAAGAGAAUACAUUGCGUUGUUUUAAGCCACUAAGUUUGUGAUGAUUUAUUACAGUACCAAGAGGAAAUCACUACAGUGUUCUAGCUGGGGAUCACAUUUCCCCACCUCAUUUUGAUCUACUCAAAGUAGUCCAUUACCUCAGUGCUGGUUAGAGUCUUUAUAAAAGCAAAAACAACAGAAUUCAGAUGCUUCUGCAGUUCUCUCUGGUAUGGAGAGCAGGUGUAAUCCCGAGACCCAUAACCUAGAGUUGGACCAGCGUGUACCAAGGUGGGGCUUGGCAGGAGUGGUCCACCCUUUUGGGAAGGAGUGUUUUAUCACUGACAUUGUUAAGGGUCACCACAGCAGAUUUUUAGUGGGUUUUGUUGUUUUUAAAUUCUCAUAGGCAGUGCACCUCUUAUUGCCUGUUCCAGCAUGAUCUGCUCCCACUGCCCACACCCACCAUUAACCUCCACCGUUGGUCUUUAGUGUCUUCUACUUUCCUUUUUGGAUUUUGUUUUUGUUUGUUUUAUUUUUUAAAUUUUUUAACUUUCCUUUAUGACACUCUUUCUUGUGGCACCUUGUUGGCUCUCUGCUCUGUGUCUCUUUCCCAUAUGAAUGAUUCCUAAAGGAAAGAUUUUUUCUAAUUAUCAGCUCUGUGUUAAGAAAUUAGUUGGAAAGAACUUAAAGUAUGAGGGUUCAUCAACUAUUUCUGGUGUAUUAGAAUACUCUAUUUCAUUUGGGUGUGUUUCAUUAAUGACUUCUACCCUCUUAUCCCUGCUGCUUCUGUAAAGCCUUCAAGACCCCUCAAAGUUAAUCUCUACAGGUGAAAUUUCAGGCUCCUGGUUUGGGUGGGCCUUUUCCAGAGUGUCUCAUGUACACUUUGUAGAUACAGCUUUGGAGUCAGACAGACCGGGGUUUGACUCCCUGACCCACCAUUUACUAGUGAUGUCACCUUGAAAAAAAUUAUUUAUUGUCUCACUUUGUUUAUCUGUAAAAUGGAGAACAUAACAAUGAUCUUGCUCCAUAGUGAGAAAUUAAUGCGAUUUUGUAUUUCAAGUGUUUAGCAGAGUGUGACCCACACAAGCCACAGAAAUCGUGGUGGUGGAGAAGU